rnacentral:rRNA from 1 species
UACGAAGGGGGCUAGCGUUGUUCGGAAUUACUGGGCGUAAAGCGUGCGCAGGCGGCUUCUCAAGUCAGGGGUGAAAGCCCAGAGCUCAACUCUGGAAUUGCCUUGAGACUGAGUGGCUUGAGUACGAGAGAGGUGAGUGGAAUUCCCAGUGUAGGAGGUGAAAUUCGUAGAUAUUGGGAAGAACACCGGUGGCGAAGGCGGCUCACUGGCUCGUAACUGACGCUCUGCACGACAGCGUGGGGAUCAAACAGG